UAGGGAAUCUUCCACAAUGGGCGGCAAGCCUGAUGGAGCAACACCGCGUGAGUGAAGAAGGGUUUCGGCUCGUAAAGCUCUGUUGUUAAAGAAGAACACGUAUGAGAGUAACUGUUCAUACGUUGACGGUAUUUAACCAGAAAGUCACGGCUAGCUACGUGUCAG
rnacentral:rRNA from 1 species